rnacentral:rRNA from 1 species
UUCCGGUUGAUCCUGCCGGAGGUCACUGCUAUUGGGAUUCGGCUAAGCCAUGCAAGCGGAGGGCGCGGUCGAAAGAUCGUGGCCCCGCACACUGCUCAGUAACACGUAGUCAACCUACCCUUGGGACGGGGACAACCUCGGGAAACUGAGGCUAAUCCCCGAUAGGUGAGGGACGCUGGAAUGCCUCCUCGCCCAAAGCUCCGGCGCCCAAGGAUGGGACUGCGGUCUAUCAGGCUGUUGGUGGUGUAACGGACCACCAAACCUACGACGGGUACGGGCGAUGGGAGUCGGAGCCCGGAGAUGGGGACUGAGACAGGGCCCCAGGCCCUACGGGGCGCAGCAGGCGCGAAAACUCCGCAAUGCGCGCAAGCGUGACGGGGGAAUCCCAAGUGCCGUUGGUCUUAUGAUCGACGGUUUUUAGGAAGUCUAAGAAGCUUCCAGAAUAAGGGCUGGGCAAGACUGGUGCCAGCCGCCGCGGUAACACCAGCAGCCCAAGUGGUGACCACGAUUAUUGGGCCUAAAGCGCUCGUAGCCGGAUCAGCAAGUCCCUUGUGAAAUCGGGCCGCCUAACGGUUCGGCGUGCAAGGGAUACUGUUGGUCUUGAGGCCGGGAGAGGUCGGAGGUACUCCUGGGGUAGCGGUGAAAUGCUCUAAUCCUAGGGGGACCACCAGUGGCGAAGGCGUCCGACCAGAACGGACCUGACGGUGAGGGGCGAAAGCUAGGGGAGCGAACGGGAUUAGAUACCCCGGUAGUCCUAGCUGUAAAGCAUGCGGGCCAGGUGUCUAGCGCUCCUCGAGGGCGCUAGGUGCCGGAGGGAAGCCGUUAAGCCCGCCGCCUGGGAAGUACGGCCGCAAGGCUGAAACUUAAAGAAAUUGGCGGGGGAGCACACAGAGGUGGGACCUGCGUCAAUUGGACUCACGCCG